AGUCGAACGGCAGCACGGACUUCCGGUCUGGUGGCGAGUGGCGAACGGAGUGGGUAUGUAUCGGAACGUGCUAGUAGCGGGGGAUAACUACGCGAAAGCGUAACAAUACCGCAUACGCCCUUCGGGGAAAGCGGGGGACCUUCGGGCCUCGCACUAUUAAACGGCCGAUAUCCGGAUUGGCUGGUUGGUGGGGUAACGGCUCACCAAGGCGACGAUCCGUAGCUGGUUUGAGAGGACGACCAGCCACACUGGGGACUGAGACACGGCCCAGACUCUACGGGAGGCAGCAGUGGGGAAUUACGGACAAUGGGGAAACCCUGGUCCAGCCAUCCCGCAUUGUGCGAUGAAGGCCUUCGGGUUGUAAAGCACUUUUGGCAGGAAAGAAACAGCUGCAGGAUAAUACCCCGUGCAACUGACGAGUACCUGCAGAAUAAGCACCGGCUAACUACGUGCCAGCAGCCGCGGUAAUACGUAGGUGCAAGCGUUAAUCGGAAUUACUGGGCGUAAAGCGUGCGCAGGCGGUUCGGAAGAAGAUGUGAAAUCCCAGAGCUUAACUUUGGAACUGCAUUUUUAACUACCGAGCUAGAGUGUGUCAGAGGGAGGUGGAAUUCCGCGUGUAGCAGUGAAAUGCGUAGAUAUACGGAGGAACACCGAUGGCGAAGGCAGCCUCCUGGGAUAACACUGACGCUCAUGCACAGCGUGGGGAGCAAACAGGAUUAGAUGCCCUGGUGAUCCACGCCUAAACGAUGUCAACUAGCUGUUGGGGCCUUCGGGCCUUGGUAGCGCAGCUAACGCGUGAAGUUGACCGCCUGGGAAGUACGGUCGCAAGAUUAAAACUCAAGGAAUUGACGGGGACCCGCACAAGCGGUGGAUGAUGUGGAUUAAUUCGAUGCAACGCGAAAAACCUUCUACCCUUGACAUGUCUGGAAUCGAAGAGAUUUGGGAGUGCUCGCAAGAGAACCGGAACACAGGUGCUGCAUGGCUGUCGUCAGCUCGUGUCGUGAGAUGUUGGGUUAAGUCCACAACGAGCGCAACCCUUGUCAUUAGUUGCUACGAAAGGGCACUCUAAUGAGACUGCCGGUGACAAACCGGAGGAAGGUGGGGAUGACGUCAAGUCCUCAUGGCCCUUAUGGGUAGGGCUUCACACGUCAUACAAUGGUCGGGACGAGGUCGCCAAAGCAUCAUUGG
rnacentral:misc_RNA from 1 species